rnacentral:misc_RNA from 1 species
UAGCUCUGCUUGUUCUGAAU